rnacentral:rRNA from 1 species
AUUGAACGCUGGCGGCAUGCCUUACACAUGCAAGUCGAACGGCAGCGCGGGGGCAACCCUGGCGGCGAGUGGCGAACGGGUGAGUAAUAUAUCGGAACGUACCCAAGAGUGGGGGAUAACGUAGCGAAAGUUACGCUAAUACCGCAUACGAUCUAAGGAUGAAAGUGGGGGACCGCAAGGCCUCACGCUCCUGGAGCGGCCGAUAUCUGAUUAGCUAGUUGGUGGGGUAAAGGCCUACCAAGGCAUCGAUCAGUAGCUGGCCUGAGAGGACGACCAGCCACACUGGGACUGAGACACGGCCCAGACUCCUACGGGAGGCAGCAGUGGGGAAUUUUGGACAAUGGGGGGCAACCCUGAUCCAGCAAUGCCGCGUGAGUGAAGAAGGCCUC